rnacentral:rRNA from 1 species
GACGAACGCUGGCGGCGUGCUUAACACAUGCAAGUCGAACGGAAAGGCCCUGCUUUUGUGGGGUGCUCGAGUGGCGAACGGGUGAGUAACACGUGAGUAACCUGCCCUUGACUGUGGGAUAACUUCAGGAAACUGGGGCUAAUACCGGAUAGGAGCUCCUGCUGCAUGGUGGGGGUUGGAAAGUUUCGGCGGUUGGGGAUGGACUCGCGGCUUAUCAGCUUGUUGGUGGGGUAGUGGCUUACCAAGGCUUUGACGGGUAGCCGGCCUGAGAGGGUGACCGGCCACAUUGGGACUGCGAUACGGCCCAGACUCCUACGGGAGGCAGCAGUGGGGAAUAUUGCACAAUGGGCGGAAGCCUGAUGCAGCAACGCCGCGUGCGGGAUGACGGCCUUCGGGUUGUAAACCGCUUUCGCCUGUGACGAAGCGUGAGUGACGGUAAUGGGUAAAGAAGCACCGGCUAACUACGUG